rnacentral:rRNA from 1 species
UACGGAGGAUCCAAGCGUUAUCCGGAUUUAUUGGGUUUAAAGGGUGCGUAGGCGGAAUAAUAAGUCAGUGGUGAAAGCCUACAGCUUAACUGUAGAACUGCCAUUGAUACUGUUAAUCUUGAGUUUAGAUGAAGUGGGCGGAAUGUGUCAUGUAGCGGUGAAAUGCAUAGAUAUGACACAGAACACCGAUAGCGAAGGCAGCUCACUAAACUAAAACUGACGCUGAUGCACGAAAGCGUGGGGAUCAAACAGG